ACCUAGACAGUUCUGUUGGUAGAGCAUGAGGCUCUUAAUCUUAGGGUUAUGGGUUCCAGCCCCAUGUUGGGCA